rnacentral:rRNA from 1 species
AUUGAACGCUGGCGGCAGGCCUAACACAUGCAAGUCGAACGAGUGGCGGACGGGUGAGUAAUGUCUGGGAAACUGCCUGAUGGAGGGGGAUAACUACUGGAAACGGUAGCUAAUACCGCAUACCAUCAGAUGUGCCCAGAUGGGAUUCGCUUGUUGGUGGGGUAACGGCUCACCAGGGCGACGAUGCCUAGCUGGUCUGAGAGGAUGACCAGCAAGACUGAAACUGAGACACGGUCCAGACUCCUACGGGAGGCAGGAGUAGGGAAGCUUGCACAAUGGGCGAAAGCCUGAGGGAGCCAUGCCGCGUGUAUGAAGAAGGCCUUCGGGUUGUAGAGUACUUUCAGCGGGGAGGCGUUACCCGAAGAAGAAGCGCCGGCUAACUCCGCGCCAGCCGCCGCGGUAAUAC